UUCUUACUAGUUCAAAGGUAGAACAGAAUACUUUUAAUAUCUUAAUCUAAGUUUAAAUCUUAUGUAAGAUA